ACUGGGUGUGGUGGUGCACACCUGUAAUCCAAAGAGCUUGGGAGGCUGAGUCAGGAGGAUUGUGAGUUCAAAGCCAGUCUCAGCACCUUGGUGAGGCCCUGAGCAACUUAGCUAGACCAUGUCUCAU
rnacentral:sRNA from 1 species